UCGCGGACAUCAGAGAUGAAGUCCUUCAGUUCGGCUGGAUCGGAGACAGGUGCUGCAUGGCUGUCGUCAGCUCGUGUCGUGAGAUGUUGGGUUAAGUCCCGCAACGAGCGCAACCCUCGCCUUUAGUUGCCAUCAUUUAGUUGGGCACUCUAAAGGGACUGCCGGUGAUAAGCCGGAGGAAGGUGGGGAUGACGUCAAGUCCUCAUGGCCCUUACGGGUUGGGCUACACACGUGCUACAAUGGCGGUGACAGUGGGCAGCUACUUCGCAAGGAGAAGCUAAUCCCAAAAAGCCGUCUCAGUUCAGAUUGCACUCUGCAACUCGGGUGCAUGAAGUUGGAAUCGCUAGUAAUCGCUAAUCAGCAGGUAGCGGUGAAUACGUUCCCGGGCCUUGUACACACCGCCCGUCACACCAUGGGAGUUGGUCUUACCUGAAGACGGUGUGCUAACCAGCAAUGGAGGCAGCCGGCCACGGUAAGGUCAGCGACUGGGGUGA
rnacentral:rRNA from 1 species